rnacentral:lncRNA from 1 species
GGUUUCACCAAUUGUUAUAGAGAUGUAUGUAGAGAUCUAUAAUUUAGUAUGGGAACAAAUAUUCAAGAUUCAAUACAAUUUCCACAUUAGUCACAUUAGUUUCUUAUCACGUUAUCAGCACGACUAGACUCUUCACUGGGAUUUGGCCGAUAAUCUGCAAUCAACCACAAGGAAUCGGUGUUUCAUAUCCCUGACAACAUUACCGAUUCGUUGCUUUGAUAUUCACAACAUUUUCUGUUCAUCACACCAGUAUGAUUCCACUCAAGUUAAGUGCAGGUACUACGCGUAAUGGGCUGGAAACUCUGGUAUUAAAUAAAGAGUCUUGCAAGCUUUUAAUACUUAAAGUCUGUUGAACAAUAUUUCUUUCUGUUUUAGAUCCGCCUGUGGAUCCACUUACAAGCGUUGUGUAAUAUCUUAUUAUCACUACAAAAAAAAAUGUCAUUUAGUGACAUACAGAAAGUGACACAAAAAAACAAAUAAGUGCCACUAAAGACUCAUGUAAGAAUGGGUGGCACACAAAAAAAGUGCCACUAGAAGUGCUGACGCUAAAGCCUUUUAGCAGCACUUUUUCACUCUGCCGCACAAAGUUUUUGGACUUUUAGUGGCACUUUUUUUUAUGCCACUACAAACUUUUGAGCUUUUAGUGGCACAAUAUUUUUGCCAUAAAAACACAUGAGAUUUAAUGCCAUUAAUGUUUAUCAUAAUAAGUUUUUAAUUACAAAUACUGUUUAUUUACAUUAAAAAAUAAAAAUAAAAGUGUAAAAUGUAGAAAUCAUAGUAUAAUCACUUAACUUAAAAGUUCAACUAGUCAUCUUUCAAUGAUUCCAAAUGUUUGCAAACAAAUGUCUAACAGGUGUCAACCUAAGUCUAAAGAUCAAAACAUA